rnacentral:misc_RNA from 1 species
GAAAAAUAACCAAGAAGCGGUAAUGAUUCUAGCAGCAACAAACCAAUCUGGUCAGUUGUUGUGCCCCAUUUGCUUGUGCUAUAAGAGAGAAGAAAACUCAUCAAGUGAAAAAAUUCCAUUUUCAGAUCUGGUCGGGCUAGCAUUUUCUGGAUAAAAGAAAUGUCAAUUAAUGCUAAAUUGUUCAACACCUUCAAUACACCAGUUGCCACAUCUUCAAAAUUGGAUGGAAGGACAUAGGAGGCCUGCUGUUCAGAACAUCUAUUAUUAGCCUGUAAUAAUACGGCCGUCAACAUGGAUGGAAGACAAACUAAGCCAGUCUCA